AGUUGGUCUGAGUGCAGUGGUGUUUACAGCUAAUUGAUCACAGCCAGUUACAGAUUCCUUUGCUCCUUCUCUACCCUCACUGCUUCACUUGACCAGCCUUUA
rnacentral:Y_RNA from 1 species